UUUGUAACAGCGUUUCUGUGUGUUUCACACUCGACUCAACGACACAAAAACAACACUAACACAUCAGCUGAGCCACACCCUCCCUCUACCCUCUCUCUUCCCUCCCGAACCCAAAAAUCCCUUCUUCCCUCUCCACAAACUCUCCCUUCUUCCUUCCAGGUUCCAACUCGUAUAUUACGGUUUCGUAUAUACACACAAAGAGAGAGGGGGAAAGGAAGAAAGGAAAAGGAAUGGAUUCAGAUCAGGGGAAGCUAUUCAUCGGGGGGAUUUCUUGGGACACCAACGAGGACAAGCUGAAGGACCAUUUCUGCAACUAUGGUGACGUCACCAACGCCUCCGUUAUGAGGGAUAAGAACACCGGCAAGCCCAGAGGCUUCGGCUUCGUUGAAUUCGCCGAUCCCUCUGUUCUCGACAGGGUCCUCCAAGAUAAGCACGUCAUCGAUGGUAGAACGGUUGAUGCUAAGAGGGCCUUAUCAAGAGAGGAUCAACAAAUUUCUGUCACUUCCAGAGGUGGAAAUUCCCAUUCUGGUUGGAAUUCUGGUGGAAAUGGUGGAAAUAUGAGGACGAAAAAGAUAUUUGUUGGAGGGUUACCUCCCACACUGACUGAGGAAAAAUUUCGUCAGUAUUUUGAGUCGUAUGGUCAUGUAACUGACGUAGUAGUUAUGUUCGACCAGAAUACUGGACGACCACGUGGAUUUGGUUUUAUUUCUUUUGACACUGAAGAGGCAGUUGAUAGAGUUUUGCACAAGACCUUUCAUGAUUUAUACGGUAAGCAAGUAGAAGUGAAGCGUGCACUUCCAAAAGAUGCCAAUCCCGGUGCAAGUGGCCGUGGUGGCGGUGGCGGCGGCGGUGCCGGAGGCUAUCAGGGUUAUGGGUCAUCUGGUGGCAACCAGAAUGCUUACGAUGGCCGUAUGGAUUCUAAUAGGUAUAUGCAACCUCAAAGCACUGCAGGUGGUUUUCCACCUUACGGUUCUGCUGGCUAUAGUGCGCCUGGAUAUGGCUAUGGUCCAGCUAAUAAUGGUAUGGGCUAUGGUGCAUACGGAAGUUAUGGUGGUGCUGCUGCUGGGUAUGGUGGAGCAGCUGGGGCAGCAUACGGGAAUCCAAAUGUUGCUAAUGCUGCUUAUGCCGGUGGUCCACCAGGUGGUCCAAGGACUUCAUGGCCAGCUCAGGCUGCUUCUGGUUAUGGGUCUAUGGGCUAUGGGAACACAGCUGCAUGGGGUGCACCAAGUGGUGGUGCUGGCUCUGUUGGUGGUGGCCCUGGUUCAGCAACUGCAGGUCAAUCCCCCAGUGGAGCUGCUGGAUAUGGGAAUCAAGGAUAUGGAUAUGGCGGGUACGGUGGGUAUAGUGGAAGUGAUAGUUCUUAUGGGAACCCCGGUGGAUAUGGUGCUGUUGGAGGGCGUACUGGGAGUACCCCGAAUAGCAAUGCCAGCGGUGCUGGGGGGAGUGAACUACAAGGUAGUGGUGGCAGCGGCAGCUAUAUGGGCGGUGGCUAUGGGGAGGCUAAUGGAAAUUCAGGUUAUGGAAAUGCUGGUUGGAGAUCUGAACAAGCUCAAGGUUCUGGAAACUAUGGGACUUCUCAGGGGGCUCAUGGUGGGCAAGUUGGUUAUGGUGCUGGAUAUGGUGGUGCUCAGUCUUGAUGAGACAAAUAGGAGUAAUUUUGACAGUAAAAUCACUUACUGGAUCUUGGACUUCGACUUGUGGAUCUGUGGCAUUUAAUAUUAAAUUGUGACCUAAUGAAUUUUUCCUAGCAGUAAAGGAGUGACUCAAGCUCGAUAUCGAUACACAACGGGAUUGGAGUGAUGCACCAGUCCUGAAGUGGAGCCAAGUGUCCACUCAUGGCUAACGAAUGAGCGUCAUUCAGUCCUAUUGUGUGCUGGAGAGGUGUUGUAUUUGCGUUUCUGAGAGGUGCACAAGUAUUCAUGGCUAAGGAACAAACAUUGUUCGGUUGUGUUGUGUGUUCUGGGAAGUGCAUCAUCAAAUUUGAAGGUUCAUGGCUUUUCAAGUGAUGAAAUCUCAGAGCCUUCAAUCUGGUUAGUGUUGAGUAACAGAAAUUGUGUGGGAAAUGAUUAGGGACAAAGUAGUUGGCUUUGAGGGGUUAGAAUUUUUUUUGGCUGAAUUUUAGUGUCCAGUACUCCAAUUUAUGCAAUGAAGAAUGCUAUGAUUGAAUUACCUAUUAAUUGUUGUA